rnacentral:rRNA from 1 species
UGCGUAGACGGUAGCGUAAGUCGGGUGUGAAAGCCCCGGGCUCAACCUGGGAAUUGCAUUCGAGACUGCUCUGCUAGGGUGCGGAAGAGGGAAGCGGAAUUUCCGGUGUAGCGGUGAAAUGCGUAGAUAUCGGAAGGAACACCAGUGGCGAAAGCGGCUUCCUGGUCCAGCACCGACGUUCAGGCACGAAAGCGUGGGGAGAAC